rnacentral:rRNA from 1 species
AGUGAACGCUGGCGGUAGGCCUAACACAUGCAAGUCGAACGGCAGCACAGUAAGAGCCUGCUCUUACGGGUGGCGAGUGGCGGACGGGUGAGGAAUACAUCGGAAUCUACUUUUUCGUGGGGGAUAACGGAGGGAACCUUACGCUAAUACCGCAUACGACCUACGGUUGAAAUCAGGGGAUCUUCGGACCUUUCGCGAUUGAAUGAGCCGAUGUCGGAUUAGCUAGUUGGCGGGGUAAAGGCCCACCAAGGCGACGAUCCGUAGCUGGUCUGAGAGGAUGAUCAGCCACACUGGAACUGAGACACGGUCCAGACUCCUACGGGAGGCAGCAGUGGGGAAUAUUGGACAAUGGGCGCAAGCCUGAUCCAGCCAUACCGCGUGGGUGAAGAAGGCCUUCGGGUUGUAAAGCCCUUUUGUUGGGAAAGAAAAGCAGCAGGUUAAUACCCCGCUGUUCUGACGGUACCCAAAGAAUAAGCACCGGCUAACUUCGUG